CUUUUAGUCCUAUGGAAAUUACUGAGUGUCUUUUAAUCCUGUGGAAAUUAUUGAGUAAAUGUGUUUUAGUUCCCUGGAAAUCAUAAGAUUGAAAAAAAAAAAAAAAAAAAAGUAAGGAUAAAGGAUCACCUUUCUCUAAUAAACUCCUCUCCUCUCCUCUUCAUCCCCAAGAUCCUUCUACUUAGGAUGGAGAGAAAGAAGGAGGCAGCCGCGGGGGUUGAUCUUGCUCUGGUUGGAACUGGCUUUUCGUUGUCCUGGAAGACACUGGCGUUGUACUUCUGGAGGACAUUCCAUCCCUUCAUCUCUCCAGGGCUUCGCCUUGGCCUGCUAAGGAGCACUGUUUGUGGAACAAUGAAGAGCUGGGAAGGGUCCAGGUUAUGAACAAACAGGAAAGUUGGGAUGCUGUCCCAGUCAGAGAGAUGAGGCUUAGGAAAAGGGGCGCAGAUUCUGGGGGAGGCUGACAGGUUCAAGUUUGAACAUAUAAGUAAUUAUGGUUAUAAAUCAUGGGCUAGAAAAAUCUACUACAUAAUCUGCAGUCAAGAAGGAAGUGAUAAAAACAAAAGAAUAAUGAGAUCAUUUAUGAUGAGUGUGUAGUGAAAGAAGAGAAAAAUGAGAUCAUUGUAGCCCAAAGCAGUUGUGUUGAUGGAGUUAUAAUUGGCCAACAGGAUUAUGACUAUAGUUUUAGUUAUAAGAAGAUAGAAGUUGAUAUUUUGCUGCUAAACCAAUCAGAAAGAAUAAGAAUGUAAAGUUUCAAUGAAUGACUGAUAAAGAAAAAAAUGUGAAGUGAGAAAGGGAGAGUGUUACCAGACAUUGGCCUGAACUUGACACCUAACCAUAUGGUGGGUGUGGUGGAAUAAAAGACUUCAUACCUAAUGGUUGAUCAUUAUUUGCCAAGUACAUUCUUAAUUAUUACAACCUUAUAAGGUGAUGGGAAUUGACAUCUUCAUCUUUCACAGAGGGCGAUAAGUCACCUGAAGGGAACAAGGAAGCUAUCUGAAUUGGACUCUAGUAUCUCACUGCUUCCCCAAAUGCCAUGCUGUUCCCUUCGAUUUGGAGCCAGAACUCCCCAAAAAGUUACCAGUUGAUAGAAUUUAGGAACCUUCUGGUAAUUUUCUAUAACCUUAGUCCAGUGCAUAGCUUGGUAUGACUAACUGGAAGACAGGAUGGAUGGGUGCUCCACGGAUGGGUAGAACAGAGGAUUCUGAUUGUUUAAAAAAUUAAAAUAUGAAAGUCUCACUUCCUGUUACUCAGGUGGCCUUUUGUCUUGACCCGUAAGAACCUAAGUCAGUGUUCAGGGAGAGGGACUCCAAAUAGAACUAAAGGACAGUUCCCUAAGAUGAUUAAAACAUAGGAUUGGGUCUCCCCAAAAAUAAAGGUGACUCUCAGGAUGGGGAGAGCUAUUCUCUUCACCACAACACAGUCCAGAACCUAGCAGUGCUGGUUUUGUGAGCCCGGGUACAAAUGCUUCAUGUUUUCUGAGUCUUUUGCUCAGUUCUUCAGAGCACUGAUGACAGAAAACUCAGAGGGGUGUUAAUAACAGAUGAUAGUAGUGCUUCCUGAAUGGUGACUUCAUACAGAAUUGCAAAAGGUACAGAGUACUCCUAAAACAUACAAAUAAAAUUGAACUUAAGACUCUGUAACUCAUUUAAGCCUCUGUAAGAGUCUCACCCUUCAUUAACAAGCAUCAGGAAAAAUUGUGACAGGCUUUGAAAUGGGCAAAAAGAUUACUGUCUGACCUAGCAUACCCUUCUGGAAGAUCUCUGCCUUUCAUUGUCUUUGAACUAUCUUACAACUCUGUAAGUUGUGGAAUACUGAGAGUAAUGCAAAUCAAUCUUGCAAAUUGUGUCACUGAAUUUAAUUACUGCCUGUGGAUAUGGACCAGUGUUUUUGAUAUUCAUUUCAAUCUCCCUGAUAGACUGUAUAUGUGUCUGUUUGAAUUUUCCUUUGAGCUGGUUUGAACGUCUUAUCGGUUCCCUCAUAAGUUGAGUUAAUGAAAUAUAACACAUGAGAGUCUUUUUUUUUUAAUAUAUUUUAAGAGGUACGUCCUUUAACACAAAAGGAUACUAACUUUAAGCUUGACAGUUUAUGACAUCACUAUCUGAUUAUAUUUUGUCUAUUCCAGAAAACUGCUCAGUGUUUUAUUUCCCACUGUACCUUCCACUGCACCUUUCUAAGGUAACAUUUUGAUAUGGGGGCAUGAGGUUCAUGUGCCUUGUGGUGGCGGAGCAGACAAGACCUGAGGACCAUCAGGUGUUUAUUUGGUCGUGAUACUGGCAUACUUGUACAGAAGACUGUGGACCCAGGAAUACAUGUUGCCUGCCUUUUUCACUGCUACCGAAGGUCUUGAAAGUAGACAUCAUCACAGGGAAUCAGACUCAGCAGAAGAGAGAGAAACUGUGGAAACCACAAUGAGUUGAGAAGGCUGAACAAGGAUAUAUCUGACAACCUCUGGGACACCUCUUGCAAAUUUGAAGAGAGUAGCAUCUUUAUGAUACAUCUCAUGCAAAAAAAAAAAAAAAGCAAUCAUCUUGAACCAACACUAAGAAAGUCUAAUGCUUUAUUUUGAGAUUUUGAUGUUUCUAAAACCUGAGUUGGCCCCUUGGGAAAACUGCUUUUAAAAAAAAAUUGCUGCAAAACCAUAUACUUAAAAAGUUUAGGAAGUCUACCAAGAAUAAACAUUAGCUCACUAUUCCAUAGAACUCAGUUUCUAGCUUCUCCUCAUUAAAAGAAAGAGAGAGAGAGAGAGAGAGAGAGAGAGAGAGAGAGAGAGAGAGAGAGAGAGAGAGAGAGAGAGAGAAAAGAGAGAGAGAGAAAGAGAGAGAGAGAGAGAGAGAGAGAGAGAGGAAGAAAGAAAAAGGACAUUUUGCUAUUUCAGCCUUCUAGAACUUUGCCUUUUGCCUCUUAAUACCAGAAAUUAAAGGCAGAGAUUAUGAUAGUAUAUGUACCCUUAAAAAGCAAGUAGUUUUCUUACAAAGUAUGAAUUUCCAUCAAGCUUAGUCUACUUGGAUGAAGUAUGAGUUCAAAUGCAUCACACAGGGAAGGCUGUCUGGAAACUGGUAUUGGGUAUUUGAAAGCCAUCUUUUCUUUUUUAUCUCAAAGAAAAUUGGCAUUGUCUCUGUCAUAGAAGAUUUUGACUUUGGGUGGUAGCUAGGAUAAUACUUCUUUAGAUGGUUCUGUAAACAUGUACAGGUUAAGCAUCUACUUACAGAAUUCCACU